CAGUCGCCGCGGGAAUACCGAGGGUGCAAGCGUUAAUCGGAAUUACUGGGCGUAAAGCGCGCGUAGGUGGUUUGUUAAGUUGGAUGUGAAAUCCCCGGGCUCAACCUGGGAACUGCAUCCAAAACUGGCAAGCUAGAGUAUGGUAGAGGGUGGUGGAAUUUCCUGUGUAGCGGUGAAAUGCGUAGAUAUAGGAAGGAACACCAGUGGCGAAGGCGACCACCUGGACUGAUACUGACACUGAGGUGCGAAAGCGUGGAGCAAACAGGAUUAGAUACCCGCGUAGUCCCUGUCUCUUAUACAC
rnacentral:rRNA from 1 species